rnacentral:rRNA from 1 species
GAUGAACGCUGGCGGCGUGCCUAAUACAUGCAAGUCGAGCGAAUGGAUUAAGAGCUUGCUCUUAUGAAGUUAGCGGCGGACGGGUGAGUAACACGUGGGUAACCUGCCCAUAAGACUGGGAUAACUCCGGGAAGCCGGGGCUAAUACCGGAUAACAUUUUGAACCGCAUGGUUCGAAAUUGAAAGGCGGAUUCGGCUGUCACUUAUGGAUGGACCCGCGUCGCAUUAGUCAGUUGGUGAGGUAACGGCUCACCAAGGCAACGAUGCGUAGCCGACCUGAGAGGGUGAUCGGCCACACUGGGACUGAGACACGGCCCAGACUCCUACGGGAGGCAGCAGUAGGGAAUCUUCCGCAAUGGACGAAAGUCUGACGGAGCAACGCCGCGUGAGUGAUGAAGGCUUUCGGGUCGUAAAACUCUGUUGUUAGGGAAGAACAAGUGCUAGUUGAAUAAGCUGGCACCUUGACGGUACCUAACCAGAAAGCCACGGCUAACUACGUGCCAGCAGCCGCAGUAA